UACAGAGGUCUCAAGCGUUGUUCGGAUUCAUUGGGCGUAAAGGGUGCGUAGGCGGCGCGGUAAGUCGGGGUGUGAAAUCUCGGAGCUUAACUCCGAAACUGCAUUCGAUACUGCGGUGCUUGAGGACUGGAGAGGAGACUGGAAUUCAUGGUGUAGCAGUGAAAUGCGUAGAGAUCAUGAGGAAGACCAGUGGCGAAGGCGGGUCUCUGGACAGUUCCUGACACUGAGGCACGAAGGCCAGGGGAGCAAACGGG
rnacentral:rRNA from 1 species